rnacentral:tRNA from 1 species
GCUUAAAUAGUUUAAUUAGAAUUGUAAUUUGUGGUAUUAUGGGUACAUAUUGUUUUAGGCU